AGUGAGCCAGCAAGGGCCGGACUGAUGCCCCACCUUGGGAGCCUGAAUCGGGGCAAGGGGCCUAGGGGGCCUAGGGAGCAGAGGGACCCAGGAAGCCCGACCAGUCAGGCCGGCUAAGUCGGCAGCCGCCCCGCCCUCGCCACCCAGCCUCCCUGGCGGUCUCAGGUCGCGCCUGCAGGCCCGGACCCCACCGCUUGGCGCGCGCGCGUCCCGGAGGGCGCCCAGGGGGCGCCGCUUCCCGUUCAGCUCCGCUCAGGGGCUGGUCCAGCCUGCGCGGCUCGGAGCGGAAAGAGUCGGGCGGAGCAGGCGGCGGAGCGGGCGGCUGCUUGACAGCUGAGAGCCGAGCGGGCGGCGCGGGCAGGUCCACGGGAAGCCUACACGCCCAAGGUCAUGCCCUGACCACAGCUGCCCUUCAGGAGGCUGGCACGGAGCCACCUGGGGCCAUUGGGCUGUUUGUCAAGGGUGGGGCAGCAGCAACUUGCCACUCUUCCUCCAUGAGCCCAGCCAGAGCCUCCACUGGCCACUUAGCACAAGAAAAACCCUGCAGGAGCCGGAUCCAGAGCGCUGGGAUUCAGCAGGAGUGCCAGGAGAAUUCAACACAGGUGUGCUGCCUCCUCUCCUGCCAGGCGUGUGGCUGCACAGGAGUCUUGCUGAUGGUGGAAUUCAAGUCACCAGUGGCCAAAGUACCCUCCAGGUGUGAAGAGUUGCAGGUCCUCCGAGGAGCCGGGAGCUGCAAGGUUCUGAAAAAGACUUCAAGAAACUGACUAAUCUCGAUGGCUGCCCCUGACGGGAGGGUAGUCUCCAGACCCCAGAGACUUGGUCAGGGGUCUGGCCAGGGGCCAAAGGGGAGUGGAGCCUGCCUGCAUCCCCUGGACAGCCUGGAGCAGAAGGAGACUCAGGAGCAAACGUCGGGCCAGCUAGUCAUGCUGAGGAAGGCACAGGAGUUCUUUCAGACCUGUGAUGCUGAAGGCAAGGGCUUCAUCGCCAGGAAGGAUAUGCAGAGGCUGCAUAAGGAGCUACCGCUCAGCCUGGAGGAACUGGAGGAUGUGUUUGAUGCCCUGGAUGCUGAUGGCAAUGGCUAUCUGACCCCACAGGAGUUCACUACUGGAUUUAGUCACUUCUUCUUCAGCCAGAAUAACCCAAGUCAGGAAGAUGCAGGUGAACAGGUGGCCCAGCGCCAUGAAGAGAAGGUGUAUCUGUCCAGAGGGGAUGAGGAUCUGGGCGACAUGGGCGAAGAUGAGGAAGCCCAGUUCCGGAUGCUGAUGGACAGACUUGGAGCCCAAAAGGUGUUGGAAGAUGAAAGUGAUGUCAAGCAGCUCUGGUUGCAGCUGAAGAAGGAGGAACCUCAUUUACUAUCCAACUUUGAAGACUUCCUGACCAGAAUCAUCUCCCAGCUCCAAGAAGCCCAUGAGGAGAAGAAUGAACUGGAGUGUGCCCUAAAAAGGAAAAUUGCUGCUUAUGAUGAAGAAAUCCAGCAUCUCUAUGAGGAGAUGGAACAACAAAUCAAAAGUGAGAAGGAGCAGUUUCUCCUGAAGGACACAGAGAGGUUUCAAGCCCGCAGUCAAGAGCUGGAGCAGAAACUGUUAUGUAAGGAGCAGGAGCUGGAGCAGCUCACCCAGAAGCAGAAAAGGCUGGAAGGUCAGUGCACAGCCCUGCAUCAUGACAAGCAUGAGACCAAGGCUGAGAAUACCAAGCUGAAACUCACUAACCAGGAGCUGGCCCGGGAGCUGGAGCGGACUUCCUGGGAGCUCCAGGAUGCUCAGCAGCAGUUGGAAAGCCUCCAGCAAGAGGCCUGCAAACUCCACCAAGAGAAGGAGAUGGAAGUGUACCGUGUGACGGAGAGUCUACAGCGCGAGAAGGCCGGGCUCCUCAAGCAGCUGGAUUUCCUAAGGGAAAGGAACAAGCACCUUCGAGAUGAACGGGACAUAUGUUUUCAGAAAAAUAAGGCAGCCAAGGCAAACACAGCUGCUUCCAGGGCAAGUUGGAAAAAGAGAUCUGGCUCCAUGAUAGGCAAAUAUGUGGACAGCAGAGGGAUUCUUAGGAGUAGCCAGUCAGAGGAGGAGGAGGAGGUGUUUGGCAUCCCAAGGAGAAGCUCCCUGGGCCUGAGUGGAUAUCCCCUAACAGAAGAGGAGCCAGGAACCGGGGAGCCAGGGCCUGGGGGUCCAUACCCCCGGCCGCUCCGCAGAAUCAUCUCCAUUGAAGAAGACCCCCUGCCCCAGCUCCUGGAUGGUGGCUUUGAGCAACCCCUGAGCAAAUGCUCAGAAGAGGAAGAGGUCUCUGACCAGGGGGUACAGGGACAAAUCCCGGAGGCCCCACCCUUGAAACUCACCCCCACAUCCCCCCGAGGGCAGCCUAUUGGAAAAGAAGCCCUGCGUAAGGAGGAAAGCUCUCCCUCUGCCCCUGACCGGCUCUUCAAGAUUGUGUUCGUGGGCAAUUCCGCGGUGGGGAAGACAUCCUUCCUGAGGAGAUUGUGUGAGGACCGGUUCUCCCCAGGCAUGGCGGCCACUGUGGGCAUUGAUUACCGUGUGAAGACGUUGAAUGUGGACAACUCUCAGGUGGCCCUGCAGCUGUGGGACACGGCUGGGCAGGAGAGGUACCGGUGCAUCACCCAGCAGUUCUUCAGAAAAGCCGAUGGUGUCAUCGUCAUGUACGAUCUCACAGACAAGCAGUCGUUCCUGUCGGUCCGGCGGUGGCUGAGCAGCGUGGAGGAAGCUGUGGGAGACCGGGUGCCUGUUCUUCUGCUGGGUAAUAAGCUUGACAACGAGAAGGAGCGGGAAGUCCCCCGGGGCCUCGGAGAGCAGCUUGCCACGGAGAACAAUCUGAUCUUCUAUGAAUGCAGCGCCUACUCUGGUCACAACACCAAAGAGUCCCUGCUCCAUCUGGCCAGGUUCCUCAAGGAGCAAGAAGACACAGUGAGAGAGGACACCAUUCAGGUCGGCCACCCUGCUAAGAAGAAAUCCUGCUGUGGCUGAUAGGGUCCUACAAGGACUGCCCCCAGCAAACCUGAGGUCACAGAGCCUGCCCUGAUCCUGCACAUGGCUCCUGCACAGAUGCCACCCACCGGGGCCCGCCCAGUCCUUUUCUUUGUCAGUCACUCACCUCCCCCAAAAGGAAGGGAAGCACAUCCCAUCAGGAGAGCUGCUCUUGGAGCAUCUCAGAGUCUUUUCUCUCCUUUCUCUUUCUAGACCCCAGAUGCCUGUCCCUCUUUUGUUGUUGUUGUUGUUUUCCCCGACUUAGUUUCCUAGGGGAAAGAAACAGAUGGGCUUUUCCAGAAAAGCCACCACGUGCCUUCUCCACCCCCCCUUCUCCUCCCCUUGCCCUUAGGAGCCUCAGCACUGCUGUUGCCAUGACAACUAUGCAGGGCUCGACUUGCGGCUUCCUGCAGGCCAAAGCGUGGCUGUGAUGUUGACAUUUUGCUGGUGUUUGAGAAGUGAACAGAAUGUAGCUGCUGGCUUCAGCACCCCCGAUUGCAAUAGCACAGGGCAUUUGGACUGGGGGAAUGAUCUGGGCCCCGUGAGAUUCCUGCAGCUGGGUGGUGGUGAGUUCCCAGCCAGCUCCGGCAUCACUAGCCAGCUGUUACAGCACUCUUGCCCUGAGUAGGAAGUCGAAUGAAAGUUAUUACAAAGACAACUGCCAAUCACUGGGCCUGCAGACCCAGGCCCCCACAGGAAAGUGGGUGGUCCACACCCAAGUGGGGCACACAGAGAGGGAGAGGGGCAGAAAGUGUCCACAGGCUUCCAACAAGAUAGUUGAAGACAACCCCACACAGCCACGUGGAUGGGGGAGAGGCCACUGGCCAGAGUUCUCAAGGCAUUCCAAUAGCCUCCUUCCAGACUCCCAAAACAGUCAGAGGCUCUCUGGGUCACCAGGCAAGUACCUACCUCUUUUUUGCAGACUUCUGUCUUUCAUUGAGCACUUGCAGGAACCAGAGAGCCCAUGGAGGGUGCCGAACAAAAAUGAGGACUGGGUACCAGGAGGUGCUCCAUGAUCCUAAGCAAGCCCGCUCCCUCCUUGGUCCCCACCAUAUCAGUAAAAUGAGGGGAUGGGAUAUCUGAUGCUUUGAGCUCUUGCUCAGAUGCACAGGAUGACAUAUUUAUUUUCCAUCAUAGGCUGGCCCUGGACCCCAGUCCAAGGUUAAAGAGAAUUCACAGGAAACUCCCUUCCCCUAGGGAAGAGCAGUGGUGGUGGUCCCACUAAUAGGAUGAGGCAGGGAGAGGGGAUGCAUGGGUCACCCAGAGGUGGCCCUCCAAUGUGUGUGUGUGUGUGUGCGCGCACGCAUGCACGUGUGUGUUGUGUGUGUCAUGUGCGGGAAGGGAAAGGAAGGAUAGAAGAUCAUGGUGGCCAUGGAGGAAGUAAACUCAGUCUUCUGCUUUUGACAAAAAGCAGAUAUAGCUAUUGGGAUUUAUGGGGCAAACAGACCAUUCCUGGGGUUCCCUAACCCCACAAGUGUCUUUAUUCCUAAUUCCUUGCCCCUGCUUUCCACUGCAUUCUUCCGUUUAGAAACAGGCCAUGCAAGGUUUAAGGCAGGGAAGGGUGGCCCUAGUGACCUAGUGCCUGGCCUUCUGGCAUGUGGGAUAAAUCACCAUGAUUCUUCAAAGGAGAGAGAAAGGAGCAGGGAGGGUCUUCAGGCCUCUGAUGCUCUCUUCCCCAACCCCCCUUUUAAAAAGAGGAGAGGGCUGAGUGUGGUGGCUCACACACCUGUAAUCCCAGCUGAGGCCUCUGAUGCUCUCUUCCCCAACCCCCCUUUUAAAAAGAGGAGAGGGCCGAGUGUGGUGGCUCACACCUGUAAUCCCAGCUGAGUCAGAGGAUCAUUUGAGACCAGAAGUUUGACACCAGCCUGAGUAACACAGCAAGACCUGACCACAACAAAAAAUAAAUAAAUAAAUAAAUAAA